CCGUGCAUAUGGCGUGUGCGGCGGCCGCUCCUUCUGCCGACCGCAUGGCGAUGGAAGCUUACGGGCUGGAAUUCCUCCUAGAUCCAGUAGAGUAGACUGGUGAGUUCCCCUAAGCCAGCACUGCUCCCUUAUCUGUUGGAUUCUAAUUUCUCUACAAACUUGUUCCCCUGCGAUCCACGGAAUCCAUCCCCUGCCCCCGCCGCCGGUGACUCAUUUCCUACCUGGCAGGUUUCCACUUAGGGAGGGGUCUGCGGACAGUUUGGAACACCCAAAUCCGGUGCCUUUAGCGCUGCUGCCGCGCCCCGAGGUCGAACUCCGGGCCUGGCUGUGGGGGACUGCAACCAUGGGAUAUCCGGAUGUGAGGUUCGGUGAAGGAAGAAUGCUUCACCGACACGGUCUGCACAGUCCACUGGGAAGGUGAAUCCGGAAGUAGGGUGGACGAAGAGGUAAUGCAGGCACAGUUCUUCUCAGUUCAAUGUGGCAAUCAUUUUUGCUAGGGAACUAAAGAUGCUCACAAGGCAGUGACGCAUUUGAUGUUCAGCACUGAUCCAGUGUGUUGGCGUACUGUGCUAAAUGUUUUAGAUUAGGUGAUUUCUGUAGAAUUGGAUUGCUCACGCACUGUUCGAAUUAAACCAUACGUGUGUUCAAAUUCAGGUUGAGGCUGGAAAGUGCACCGCCUGAUAGGACCCCGUAUGCGUCAUGGAUGAACGCCCUGAAACAAUCUAACCGACAAUUUUGUAGAAGAGCCUACUAAUGCUGGUGAAACCAGAUCAUGGUCUAUGUUUUGACUCAUUCGCUGAGGUUUAUGCCUUUUACAAGUUGUAUUCGUGGGAGGUUGGCUUUGGGGGUAUAGCAAGAGUAGACUGAAUGCUGAGGCAACCAAAUCAUUGCAGGAGAUCGUGUGUGACUGUUCAGUGAGACAUAAUGUUUUGUUGCUAAUUUUGGUUUUGACAAACAGUGUCCUUAGCAGAGGGAGUACCAUUGGUUACUUAUUUUGUGUUCUCAGUUACUCUUGUGCACACAAGUUCUGCAUCUUUCAGUUCUAAUUUUUAAGAACUGAGAAGAUUAUACCUCAGGUUCUUCAUGGCCGCUGAGAUUUUGAAAUCUUGGUUUUUAUUCUUGCUCUUCCGUUUCUUUGCUAAUCCGGCGCGUAUGCCUCUGUAAAUGCAAUUUGGGUUGCGAAUUGUCAACCCACCUGUCCUGAAACAAUUGAUGUUGUGGCUCGCGCGCCAGCUGUUCG
rnacentral:lncRNA from 1 species